AUGUGGAGGCUAUAUACAGGGGGUACCGGUACAGAGUCAAUGUGGAGGCUAUAUACAGGGUGUUACGGUACUGAGUCAAUGUGGAGGCUAUAUACAGGGUGUUACGGUACUGAGUCAAUGUGGAGGCUAUAUACAGGGGGUACCGGUACAGAGUCAAUGUGGAGGCUAUAUACAGGGGGUACCGGUACAGAGUCAAUGUGGAGGCUAUAUACAGGGGGUACCGGUACAGAGUCAAUGUGGAGGCUAUAUGCAGGGGGUACCGGUACAGAGUCAAUGUGGAGGCUAUAUACAGGGGGUACCGGUACAGAGUCAAUGUGGAGGCUAUAUACAGGGGGUACCGGUACAGAGUCAAUGUGGAGGCUAUAUACAGGGGGUACCGGUACUGAGUCAAUGUGGAGGCUAUAUACAGGGUGUUACGGUACAGAGUCAAUGUGGAGACUAUAUACAGGGGGUAUCGGUACAGAGUCAAUGUGGAGGCUAUAUACAGGGUGUUACGGUACUGAGUCAAUGUGGAGGCUAUAUACAGGGGGUACCGGUACAGAGUCAAUGUGGAGGCUAUAUACAGGGGGUACCGGUACAGAGUCAAUGUGGAGGCUAUAUACAGGGGGUACCGGUACAGAGUCAAUGUGGAGGCUAUAUACAGGGGGUACCGGUACAGAGUCAAUGUGGAGACUAUAUACAGGGGGUACCGGUACAGAGUCAAUGUGGAGGCUGUAUACAGGGGGUACCGGUACUGAGUCAAUGUGGAGGCUAUAUACAGUGGGUACUGGUACAGAGUCAAUGUGGAGGCUAUAUACAGAUGGGUACCGGUACAGAUUCAAUGUGGAGGCUAUAUACAGGUGGUACCUGUACAGAGUCAAUGUGGAGGCUAUAUACAGGGUACCGGUACAGAGUCAAUGUGGAGGCUAUAUACAGGGGGUACCGGUACAGAGUCAAUGUGGAGGCUAUAUACAGGGGGUACCGGUACAGAGUCAAUGUGGAGACUAUAUACAGGGGGUACCGGUACAGAGUCAAUGUACGGGCGGCAACGGUUAG
rnacentral:lncRNA from 8 species